CAACUCCUCUCUCUCCCUCACCGUCUCUCUCUUUCUCUCUAUCUUCUUCUCUUCAUUCUUUCUCUCUUGCUCACUUAUUCUCUAUCUUCGCCAUUCUCUCUAUCGGAGUCUUGGCUGGAAUCAAAUAAAUUGAUCGGAAAUAUUGAGUUUCUAAGUGAGGGUUUGAUGUAAUCAAGUUUGGGUUGAAGAAUUGAGCGGUGAAAGAAGAAAGCCCAAAUUGAUUCUUCAAAAGUGCUGCAACGUUUUAUGAACAGAGUUUCGAGAAUCCGGUGGCACUGGUAUAAACCAUAAGAGAUCAGCUUCACAUCGGUGGUGGUGGUCGGAAUAGGUCGAAGAAGACAAGUUCAUUUACAAUUCGAAAUUCAGCGGUUAGGCCUUCAAAGAAAUAAUUGUUUAGGGGCCUUUGAGAUUGAACCUCGUUGAUCAGGAUCCAUCGUUAGAAAGCUAAUGAGUUUGGCUCUCUAUUGGUCGUGGUUCUUGAUGGUUUGCACGGGCGGCGGUCCCCGGAGUUUGCUGAGAAGUCAGCCUGCUCGCUGCGAUUUUGGGGAAGCAAAACCUGCUGCCGCACCUGUUUUCGGAGCCGAAAUCGAAGGGUUUCGAAUGCGAAUUUCGAAUCAGUUCCUUCAGGAAACUCGUAGAGGACAUCGUAAACUAUAAGUAAGUGUUCAAUUGUAUCGAAUUAGAAUAUUUAAUAUACGUGUUUAGAGGUCGGAAUCCGAUGACAGUAAUCUGCCGGAAACAGGGCAGUUUUGAGUAUCUUCUUGCGGGACUGUUUUCGAUAUGUUGGGAUCAUAAUUUGGGCUCUGUGCCUUCAUGAAACUUGUAGAUUAAGUUGUAAGGUUUCAUUUGAUGUAUUAUUUAGGCAAUUUGGAUAACUUUACAAAUAGUUAUGAAUUUUACAAAACUGUACCAGAAAACAGAAUUUAUCCGAAAUUCUUGCAGUUUUCUGUAGUCAUCUUUUGGGGCUGUUUUGAAUAUGUUGGGAUCAUAAUUUGUGAUCAAAGCCUUCUGUGAACUCGUAGGAUUUUCUGUUAUCUUUCAUUUGACGUAUCAUGUGAUCAAUUUGGAUUAGCAUGCUAAUUGUUAUGAUUUUUCAAACAAACUGUGCCAACAACAAAUUUUCAAAAAAAAAAACCUGGCAGUUUCAUGUACUCAUCUUCCGAGGCUGUUAUUACUGUGUUAGGUCGAUAAUUUGGGCUCAGAGUCUUCAGUAAACCUGUAGACACUGAUGUUAGCUUUAGUUCGAUAUAUCGUUUAGGUUAUUCGAAUAAGUAAGGUGAUCGUAACGAUUGUUCGAAUAAGCUGUGGCAGCAAGACAUUCGUAACAAAUGUUUCAAGAACUUGACUAUGUGAUAUAGUAGAAUAAUACGAUUAUAUUAGCAUUUGGAAUCUUGUUAAGUGAUGAAUAUGUUUAUAGGUGUCGAGCGUACUAAAGCUCUCACUCAAGGUUUAAGCUUAAAGAUGCACCUAUAGAACUAGCAUUGGACUCCAGGUGAGAAACUAUGACUCCUUAUCCAAUUUCUUUCCUGCGCAUAAUAUCUCCUUUGUUUGAACCGAAUAUUUUUUACAUAUUGAAGCCUUCGAUACCUUCAUUAUAUUUGUUCUUGAAAUAUGAUCCUUAAUGUUAUGCGAGCAUAUUCGUUUCCUUGGCUCGAACUUGGAACCUUGAUCUUGUUCUUUAAAUCUUGAACUUGUCAAUUCUCUUGGUUGCUAUGUUCACGGCUAAUUCCUAUACUUGAUUCCUUGGCCUGAACAUUUUCCUUGAAUCGAUAUUGAACUAUAUUUAUUCUCAAAAUCUUGUCUUGAAUGCUUUCUGAGAAUAAAUAUUUUGUUGGCUCGAACUUGAAUCUCAUGUUUAUUGAAUUCAUUGAGAUCUUGAUAUACUCGUUCUUGGAACCUGACAUGGAAUUUAUUGUUCUUCUUGAAUUCCAUAUUCACGACAAUUCUUCAUUGGCUUGAAUUGAAAUCUGAACUGAACAUGUUCAUUUUCGUGAGGCUUGAUAUUCAAUUAUCAUGAUCGUGACUUAUCUUGUGAAUGAUUGACUUGAUUCUUGAAUUGAUUCUUGAAAUGAAUGACUUGAUAUUCCUAAAAGGAAUGAUAUUGAUUCUUGAACCUACUGUCCCCACCCUUGAGGACGCUCUUGGGGGAGCUGGGCCCUAGGACCAUUUCGGCAAGACGAUCGGGCAGUAUUGGGCUGACGAUGACUGGUCUCCCGAAUGGUACCUCCUGAUGGUUCGGACUCACGUUCGUUUGGAGUUAAACGUUCCUGAGCCGGAUCGGCACGUUCCAGUCGUGCCUCUUGCCUGUUUCCGACCGAGUGGCCACUCGGGACGGAUUGGAGGGAUAAGGAUGUGAUAUGAUUUUAUUUGUUGGGAGUUACAAGGUUGGAGACCCCACCAAAUAUUGAACUCAAGCCGUACAUGUUACACUCUUGUACAUGUUACACUUCUGUUAAUGAAAUUCUUGUUAAUGAAAUUCUUUUAAAGUCUCUCGUUAUAUGUUCUGUUAUGUUGAUUCUCAUCAUACUCAUGGAUCAUAUGUUUUUCACUAAGUCAUUCGGACUUAUUCGUUUCUCCUUUCUGAUAUUAAUUAAUAUGCGCAGGUAAAAGAAAGACUUAGACCUAAAUUUUCAUACUAAGAGUUAAAGCUCUUGUAUGCCUCCGAUUAGUCUCGUCGAGAGGCAUCUCGAUUUAUGUUCCGUAUGGAAAUCCUUUGAUCGAGAAUUUUGUAAUCGAGUAAGUGGUGUCGAAGUCGACUUGUAAUAGAACCUCCUUUUGUAAACACGAUAGUAUAGAUUGCGGGUUUAAUGUUUUGAUCAUCGCAAUUUUGAGGAGCAUAUUUAGGAUCAUUGAAUGUACUGCAUGUUGAGUGGUGUUCCGCCGCGAGGUGCCUGCUACUCGGGGCGGGGCGCUACAAUAGAAUUGACAUUAGAUUCAGAUUUGUAGAUCUUUAUCGAUAGUACACUGGUGGAUUUUACCAUAGAAGCCAGCACACGUCGGAAUUCCUCGCUUGUACUGGCGGACCGUUGUUUUUAUUUCUGUUUCUUUUCUUUUUAGCUUCAUCCCCCAUUCUUUCGUAUGUCUAGAUUAAGUUUAGGAUAGUAUAAUUACGGUACUUGGUAAAUUUAGGAACUUAAUUCCCUGUGGAUCGAUAUCUGGAAUUCACUAUUCUACAAAACGCGAUACUGUACACUUGCGGUUUGUCAUACGUAGGUUUUACGCGUAUCAAGUUUCUUGAUAGGUUUUUCUUCUUGUUCUCAAGACUCCAUUAAUCUGUAUUUAUGGGGUCUUGGGAUUUAAUCCUACUGGGCUUAAGUUGGACUGGGCCAAAUAUCUUAAGUCCAAUAGGUUUCCUUUGCUCGUCUCACAAAUCGAUGACCAGAAAGAUAUAACAAUUAUAUUUUCGUUGUCACCAUAACGUUCUCGUCAAUACAAGGGCCAAUUGUAAAUAUCUAAUUUAAAAAAUUGGAAACCCUAAUUCAGUGGACUUGCUAAAUCAGGAAACUUUCAAAAUUAGAAAGUUCAUUAAAUUUUCGCUUAAUUUUUUUUUCGUUCAUUCUCAUUCAUAAUCAAUAAUUACGAAUGCUAAGAUUAAUAAAUUAUUCUCGGUCUUUUAUAAUCAAGGAUAUCAAGUGAUGUAAAGUACAUGAGAAGCGUGACCCUCGAGGUUUAGGUGUAAGCUAGUAGUGGGCACACAACACAUUUUGAUGUAAAAUCAUCCCUAGAGUUAUUAUUACGAAUAAGCUAAUUUCAACUUUUUAAAUGAAGUGCUUACAAGAACUGUAUGAUAUAGUUAACAUACAAUACGGUCUUGUCAAUUCAUAUGUCCUGAUUGAACUACAUGCAUUGGUCCACCGAGAGAAAAUUGUUUCUCUAAUCAUCACACAAUCAACUCUGGCCAGAGACUUUGUCGAUUACAAACUUCUAGAACACACAGGACAUCCAUGACUAAUCAAGCGAUCAAAUCGCUUACUACAAUUCACAGAUUUCACACUAGAUUUCAGAAUGCACGAACAUUGGCCCUUAGAGCAUUCUUCAGUGAGGCUCAGGGACAUGUCACGAUGCAGUUGAUCCUCUAGUCAAGCCACGGUGAUGUAUGGGCCUUAAGGAUUAAUGGUGUACAACUAUAUUAUAGAAGCCACUACUCGAUAAUUGGGAACAACUUUGAGAUUUCUAGGAUGAGGGAGUUCAGUGAACUUAUCUAUACGAGCAUCCACUUUUGUAUGUUGAUAUCUCAAUACCGAUUACUGAUGAGACGCAGUACACAUACAUUGAGUAUUGUUACUCUCAGAUGGGAAAGUUCGGUAUCCUCAUUAAUGGUGUAACCCGUUGACUAAGAACUUAUUUAAUAGUUAAGUUACUAUUAUUAAAUUAUCUUAUGAUUCAACUAGAUUGGGGGUCAGUUGAAACAAAUGAAGUAGAAGUACGACUUGUAUUGAGGCUUACGUCGUAAAUGGGCUUAUAUGGAGUUUUUAUUUGACAAGAUGUACCUUUCACUAUCUACGCAGGGGCCAGGAUGUAAAUCCAAUGUGUGGAGAAACUUGGCAAGGAGUUCAUAAAGAUUUUAAUGAUUUGUUUGAUGAGUAGUUUCUAAUCCAUGGUGGUGCGGUCUGAUCAAGUUUCGGUCGAACAGUAAGCAAUGACUAUUCACUUCAGAUUUCGAGUCCAAAUGGUUUAUGUGAUCUUGAUGAUCAGUUUAAGAAGUCCAAUAAAAGAAAAUAUAAAAAAAGAAAGGUACCAUUAGGAUAAGUACUUGAAUGAGUAUUGAAAACAAGGUCGGCUAGACUUUGAUGUCUUGAUGUGGUGGAAAGUUGAAGCUCAUAGGUUUCCAAUUCUUUUCAAAUAUGGCUCGUGACGUUCUAGCAAUUCCAGUCUGUUUUGCUUUAAAGCCUUCAUUUAGCACGAGAGGAGAUACUCUUGAUGCUUUUAGGAGGUCUUUAUCUCCUAGAAUUGCUUAAGCUCUUCUUUAUGCUCAAGAUUGGUUUCGAUCAAAUUGAAAUCCAGUAUAUGUGGAAGAGGACUUAUACGAGCUAGAUAAACUUGAUAAAGGUAAAUUCAUUUUUCUUAUAUUUCUCAUUUAUUUUUCAUCCACACUUUUAAAUGAUAUUAUGGUACUUAUACUUAUGAUUUUGUUUAUUCUUAUAGAGUUGGUAGCACUUGGAGCUGAUUCGUUUGUUCUCGAUUCACAAACUCUUGACUUCAAAUUUUAGUGAUGUAAUUUCAUGUAUGUAAUGAAAUAUAAAUUAAUUAUAUAUUAUUUUUUCUUUCAUUUUUAUAUUUGUAUUAGAAUGGUGAACAUUAAAACCUCAAUAAUUAAUUAUCUAUGUUUGCAGAUUACAGGAUGAUAUAGGCCCAUUGCUAUGUUAGAAGUCAAGCAUUGUACUAUGGUGAUCUUGAAUUUUUUUUUUUGAAUUGAAUUUAAGAGGUUUGGAGUUAUUAGCUUAAUGUUUUGCAAUGCAUUUGCAUUCAUAGAUUUU
rnacentral:lncRNA from 1 species